rnacentral:rRNA from 1 species
UACAGAGGUCCCAAGCGUUGUUCGGAUUCACUGGGCGUAAAGGGUGCGUAGGUGAUGAGGUAAGUCGGAUGUGAAAUCUCCGAGCUCAACUCGGAAACUGCAUUGGAAACUACCUUGCUAAAAAAUUGGAGAAAAGACUGGAAUACUUGGUGUAGCAGUGAAAUGCGUAGAUAUCAAGUGGAACACCAGUGGCGAAGGCGAGUCCCUGGACAACUCCUGACACUGAGGCACGAAAGCUAGGGGAGCAAACAGG